rnacentral:rRNA from 1 species
UACGUAGGAUCCAAGCGUUAUCCGGAUUUAUUGGGUUUAAAGGGUGCGUAGGCGGGCCUUUAAGUCAGCGGUGAAAGUUCCCGGCUCAGCCGGGGAAUUGCCGUUGAAACUAUUGGCCUUGAGUGUAGAUGAGGUGGGCGGAAUUCGUAGUGUAGCGGUGAAAUGCGUAGAGAUUAGGAAGAACACCAGUGGCGAAGGCGACUUUCUGGACCGUAACUGACGCUGAUGCAUGAAAGCGUGGGGAGCAAAC